rnacentral:rRNA from 1 species
UGGGGAAUAUUGCACAAUGGGCGCAAGCCUGAUGCAGCCAUGCCGCGUUUAUGAAGAAGGCCUUCGGGUUUUAAAGUACUUUCAGCGGGGAGGAAGGGAGUAAAGUUAAUACCUUUGCUCAUUGACGUUACCCGCAGAAGAAGCACCGGCUAACUCCGUUCCAGCAGCCGCGGUAAUACGGAUGUUGCAAGCGUUAAUCGGAAUUACUGGGCGUAAAGCGCACGCAGGCGGUUUGUUAAGUCAGAUGUGAAAUCCCCGGGCUCAAACUGGGAACUGCAUCUGAUACUGGCAAGCUUGAGUCUCGUAGAGGGGGGUAGAAUUCCAGGUGUAGCGGUGAAAUGAGUAGAGAUCUGGAGGAAUACCGGUGGGGAAGGCGGCCCCCUGGACGAAGACUGACGCUCAGGUGCGAAAGAGUGGGGAGCAAACAGG